rnacentral:tRNA from 1 species
AGCAGCGUGGCUCAGCGGAAAGAGCGCGGGUUUGGGAGUCAGAGGUCAUAGGUUCGAAUCCCGUCUCUGCCA